UUUGAAGUAAUUAAGGGCACAUGGUGGAUGCCUAGGUGGAAAGUACGAUGAAGGACGUAGAGGACUGCGAUAAGCUUCGGUGAGCUGUGAUCAAGCUGUGACCCGGAGAUCUCCGAAUAGGGAAACCACUGUAUGAAGAAUACAGAGUGCCGGCUGAAUAAAUAGGCCGGUGCGGACGACCUGGUGAAGUGAAACAUCUCAGUAGCCAGAGGAAAAGAAAUCAACCGAGAUACCCCUAGUAGUGGCGAGCGAACGGGGUACAGCCUAAACCCAGCAGACGUGAUAGGUUACAGCCGUUGUCUGUUGGGGGUUGUAGGGCUUACUGUUUCGGCGCUGUAGAGCCGGACGCAAGUAAGAAAUCCGUGUUAUAGAAGAAGUGGGAUGGAAAGCCCCUCCAUAGAGCGUGAUAGGCGCGUAUUUGAAAUAGCACGGACUUGUGAGUGAGUACCUGAGUACGGCGGGGCACGUGGAACCCCGUUGGAAUCUGGGAGGACCAUCUUCCAAGGCUAAAUAUGACUUUCCGACCGAUAGCGCAUAGUACCGUGAGGGAAAGGUGAAAAGAACCCCGGUGAGGGGAGUGAAAUA
rnacentral:rRNA from 1 species